AUACUUCUAUUGCAAAGCAAGAACGACAAAGAUAAAGGGAAAAUAUAUAAUAAUCAUAGCCUUGACCACAACAAGGAAAGAUAUUAACCAAUAAGGAGAGGAAAACUCAAAUUAUUUCCAUCAUCCAAAUAUAAAGAAAGCAAAAACAGAGAAAACCAUGGCCAACAAGCAUAAUAUAUAGGGGACUUUAUAAAUUUGGCAUAAUACAUAUAUAAAUAUGGCUUUUAAUUUGACCUCAGUUGGUAUUUAUGUUCUUGAUCUUUGGGUAUGCAUAAGUAGACACUUAAACUUAUAUAAAGUUGAACAAGUAAACACACGUGUCCUACGUGACAUAAUACAUGUGUCCUACGUGACAUAAUACACGUAGGACGCCAUAUAGGAAGCUAAUAAUUGCCAAUAGAAUACAUGUGUUUACUUGUUCUGUGUACAAGUUUAAGUAUCUAUCUGUGCAUACCCAAAGUUGAAAAACAUAAAUAUCAGAUAAGGCUAAGUUAAAGCACAUUCACAUUUAUGCUUAUACUAUUCAUUUUGAGAUGAACCACUACAAGGUUCAUCAUUAUCAAGUUGAAGAUCUUUUAAAGAAGGAUAAUUAGGACCAUUCAUGAGCUGCAUGUUAGUAACCAUUUGACGAAGUCCAGCAGUUUCUUCUUUGAGUUGAGCAUUUUCUUCAAGUGCUUGGUCAUGGCCUUUUGAGACAUGAUUAAGUUUGUUCAGGAGUAGGUGAUUCUCGUUCCGCAGGCAAUUAACCUGUAAUGAGGCGAAUUCAAGAUUUAAUCUUUAUAUGUUUAUAAUUCUUUGU
rnacentral:lncRNA from 1 species